GACGGAGGGUGCUAGCGUUGUUCGGAAUGACUGGGCGUAAAGGGCGCGUAGGCGGCUCGUGAAGUCGGGUGUGAAAGCCCGGGGCUCAACCCCGGAACGGCAUCCGAUACUGGCGGGCUUGAGACCGGGAGAGGAGGGUGGAAUACCCAGUGUAGAGGUGAAAUUCGUAGAUAUUGGGUGGAACACCGGUGGCGAAAGCGGCUCUCUGGCCCGGAUCUGACGCUGAGGCGCGAAAGCGUGGGGGAGCAAACAGG
rnacentral:rRNA from 1 species